GGGGAGAAAUGGGGAGCAUCCAAUACGCUUAGUGCAAGAUGUUCCGCGGUUCACUCCUGUCCAGCCCCUCAGAACAUAUGGACAUUAGUUUACCCGCACAUACAUCAAACAUGCACAGAGCAGUCUCACGCAAUGGUGUAGAAUCAGAUGUCGCACAUACCCACUGACACGUGGCUAUAAACAGAGCACGUACCAUACUGGGGCCUCUGGUUUCAGUGGGAAUAGAUCUUUGUGUCAGAGACAAGCCACACAGCCACGCAGAGUACAUACCACACAUGUUUCGGCGCUCGAUGGUUCUUGCAUAUAUUGACGGCACACUGAAGGAGGCGUAAACUGAACACAGUCAGGCGGCAGUGCCAAAGAAACAGAAGAAUAGAGAGACACAAAAUCACAGUCACAGCUGGCACCCAAGAUGUACUCAGAAAUAAAAAAGUAAAGUCAUUCUUUAGUUUUCCAUGCCACAUUGUAUGAUUUGUCAUAUGUAAUGUGACACAGAGUUCCUCGAAUCAGUCACUGGAAUUUGAAAGAGUAACAUUUUGGAGUACAAUUACAGAAAAAAGAAAAACACAAGUCAUUUGACACUGUUUGAAAUUCAGCAUAAAAGUAAUUUCUCGCCGGAUUAGCUUUUCUUUCAGAAGCUCUGCAACUGAGAAAAAGUAAAGCUGAUGGGGUUGAGCUGACGAACACCAUGUUCACUCAGUGUGGAGCAGUGUGUAUUACAGAAAACACAAUGUCAAGCAGAAAACUGUUGUUCUUAUGUAUAUGUAAGAUCUGAGGAACAGCUCACUUUCCGACUGAGGAGGAACUGCGCAACAUUAGCAGUGUCCAAGGGGCACAGGGCCGCGGGUGGCUGAGCUCUGGAGGAGCGCCGACCUGGAGUGAAGCAGUGGCAUGGCUGCGCAGUGCGUCUGCUCCAGAAGGUACAGCUGGAGCCAGAGGGAGAUGGAAAUAGCAGAGGGCGGAGGCCGGGCAGUGACCACUGGCAUGCCGGAGGAAGCGGACGCCAUUCCGCUCGCGAGAGCGCGGUCUCCAAACACUCGGGAGCACCCAGGCGACAUCCCACAUGUGAGCAGGCUGCCCAUCUCCACCCACUGCUAUUUCAGGCCCCGGCGCCCGGUGCAGUGUUUUUACUGAGUGACCACGGGUGGAGAGAGGGAGCAGGCAAAAGAAGAGGGGGGAUGUUUAGAGAAAGAGAGCUGUGACCAAAGCAAAGAGAACAAAGUGAGCUGGUGGAGGAGAAAAAGAGAGGGGAAAGCAGGAAGAGGUAGAGAGAAAGGAAGAGUGGAAAAUGAACGAGUGAUCGAUGGGAGAACAGUAAGAAGAAGUGGUGAGGUGGGGUGGAGGAAAAGAGAGAGGGGGUAAAGGAAAGUGUGGGGAAAAAGAGGAAAAAUCUGAAUUUUGCAUUCAGCACAUAAUGAGAUCCAUUUUUUAUGCGGACAUAUGUAGGAUGUUUCACUGGAUACUGACGCCCUUGUGAGACGAUGAGCUAAAGAAUUAUUUCACAGCUUUCAUCCUUUAGAUGGGACUUAUUUUCUGGAAGGGAGAAGGAAAAAAGGCAUUAGUCUGAUCAAAAAAAUAAAACAUGGUCAGCCACCAAAGCUGCAAUGGUUACAUUCGGUUUAGCGAAGUGGAGUCGGCAGUGAUGAAGUUCCCACUGUGUCGACGUCGCAUGAGCCGCUGAGAUGCGUCGGUGUGCAUGUGAGCAGAAAGCGACUGUUUGAAAUACACCAGCAAACACACCAUUUACAUUUGCUUACCUUGUGCUUAGAAGUGUGACUUUGGCCAGGCCUAGGUGUGACCUCACCUACAGAGCAUGUUGCCGGGGUUAUGGAGACAGACACGCUGGUGUGAUAGUGUACAUAGAAAAGAGCUAUCAGUCUGGGUUGUCUCGCUCAGUAAUGUCUGAUUGUGGCCGCUGUUUGGGGCAGUCAGUCCCAGAAAAGAGACGGCGUGGAAAUGACUCAGGCACCCCACCAGCGUCAGAGAUACCGCCGAUACCACAGAAGCAUCCAAAGCAGCCUCGCUUUUCAAAGACAAGCUGCUCCCUUCUACAGCUUUCAGAUUGUAAAUGAUCUGAUUACUGCUGCGUUUCAUUUAUUCUCUAGACAUGAUAAAUGACUGCAUGUGUGUUAACAGGCUGAUGGUUUGAGAACGCAUUUGUUUGAGAUUAUUCACAAGAGACACGAAAAUUAUGUUGCCAUAUGUAAAUCAAAGCUUUAAACAAUUAUAAACCUAUUUGUGUUGUAUUUAUUUGAAAAUAUACCGGAAUGUCCAGCCAUUAUCCAAACCCUCUCAGGGUUGGGGGCAGCCUGGAACUGCGAGGCAGGGGACACAAGGCUGGGAAGUAGCUUUCCUGCAUAAACUGGGAGCCAGUCGCAGGCCAGUGGCUACAGCCUAAUGCCCCGGCAAAAUCUGGGGCCCCUACUAGCAAAAUCUGUUAAUGGCCAAACUUGUCACAUUUAAAUCUGACCCCUUCCCCCAUCCAGGUGAUUAUUGAUGUUCAGCAGCAUACGUAGAUAUUCUGGCCUCCCUGACAAAAUGUCAGCUUAUGCCCCCACCUGCCCAAUUUUACAAAUAAUUUUAGAUAUUCGUUCAAGCGCUGGGGCCCCUGAAUCUGCCAGGGGUAUUCAUGCCCCUCCGAGGCCCAUGUUGUGGUUGCGCCAAUUUGAAUUCUUUCUCAUUUUUCUCUUUUAACUCCAAAAAAUUGUUACUCGCUUGGGGGAUUAGUCAUAUUAGCCAUGGCCCCCGGGGAAGUUAGUCUGCCCCUAAUAAUAAAGGUUAAUUGAAAAAAUGUUCUCCAGCUGCCACCUUCUGGUGAGUAGCUCUUACUACACACAUGUAGAAGUAGGUGGCCCUCCAUGUUAAUGUGAAAUCAUUCAGCUGCGGU